rnacentral:lncRNA from 1 species
CCGCCAUCCGUCGAGUAUCCACCAACCCGCUACUCGUCUAAUACCCGCCACCCACUACUCGUCGAGGCUUGAGAGAUAGGGGCACUUUUUAUUUUAUUUUUUAUUUUUUUUAUGAGCAGAAGAUGUGUGCACAUAUUUUGGUGUCCAGCAGAAAACAUUAAUCAUUUGCCCAUCAAUACAAAUAAUCACAAAGCAUCUAUUCGUUACUAUUCUUAUCUUACAGAAAACUGGAUAUAUGUUUUCUUUAAACAGAACACUAAUGUUCAAGGCUUUUUAAUCAACUAAAGAAAAUGAGUUCUAAGUAAGCUCUGAGAAG